GAGGGUAGAGCUCAGUGGUAGAGCACGUGCUUAGCGUGCAGGAGGUCCUGGGUUCAACCCCUAGUACUUCUG
rnacentral:tRNA from 1 species